ensembl:miRNA
UUGGUACUUGGAGAGUGGUUAUCCCUGUCCUGUUCGUUUUAAUUACGUCGAAUCGUACAGGGUCAUCCACUUUUUCAGUAUCAA